ACAGGAGGAGACAAAAGGCAGCAAAGAAGGAAAAUGGAGGCUGACCAUGUGGUCAAAGCCAAGGCCCAAACAAGAUGGCGAUAGAGAGGAAGUUACCUCAUACCUCAAAGAGGUAUUGUUACAUCAACCAAUGGGGGAGGAGAUAGUAGCAAACAGGAAGAGAGGGGCAGAGACAGAAAGUCUCUUACAGGAAGGCAUGCAUAGGAAUACAAAGGAAUCCUUCAUUCUAAUCCUGUUUUCCUAGUCUUGCUACUCACUGGGGACUGGAAACUUGUGGAGUCCAGGGUGACACCCAACAGGGAGGAACCAUUUUCGCUAUAUGGCUGAUUAGAUUGUCCUGUCUAGAACUGGUUUGAGGCCAGGUGCAGUUUUGUUUUGUUUGUGCUUUUCCAUUUCCUGUAAAGAUGUGCAUCAAUACACCAGGGCACAUGAGAUUUUAAAGAGGGGAAGGUGACAGUUAAGAGUAAAGGUAAUCCAUUAGCCCUUCCAGGGGAUCAAUUCACUAGCCAGCCAUUCUCUUGGAGUGUUUCUUGAUAGCUAUGGUUUGGAAAGGAGCCCUUGGUAGCGCAGCGGAUUAAACCGCUGAGCUGCUGAACUUGCUGACCGAAAGAUUAGCAAUUCAGAUCCAGGGAGUGGGGUGAGCUCCCACUAUUAGACCCAGCUUCUGCCAACCUAGCAGUUCUAAAACAUUCAAAUUUGAGUAGAUCAAUAGGUACUGAUCCAGCAAUAUGGUAACAGUGCUCCAUGCAGUCAUGCUGGCCACAUGACCUUGGAGGUGUCUAUGGACAACACCGGCUCUUCGGCUCAGAAAUGAAGAUGAUCACCAACCCCAGACUCAGACACGACUAGACUUAAUGUCAAGGGGAAAUCUUUACUUAUGGUUUGGAAUUCUUUUUACUGCACUUCCGCAGGGGAAGGUUUCCUUAAUGCAUUCUCCGUUUUGUGGAGUUGAUUUUGCCCUGAAUUUGGGAUAACCUGGCAUCCGCUGCAGCACAUUUUUUGGCUGAACUCGGACUUUACUGUGACUUUUAAAAAUAAAUAGUAUCCCCUGUGAUCCAUGCUGAAACCAUGGCUGCAAUCAGUUUAUGUUUUCUUGAAGCUUCAUUAUAAUGUCAGUGUAGAUGGGGCCACUGUGUCAUACUGUAAUAAAUCUUUCAGGUGAUUUUUGUUCUGAAACGUAUCACUGUAUAGAAUUUGGUUGUAGUAUUGGCCACAGUAAUAUUCCCCUUCAUCUUCAGGACAUACACCACUGAUAGUGAAGGUGAAGUCAGUGCCACUGUAGCUGCCACUAAAGUGAUUUGGGGACCCGGUGAAACAUGUGGAACUCUCAUAAAGAAGGAGAAUGGGAUUUUUUCCUGGGAUGAAUUGAUAUAAAGCCAUGUCAUCACUCAUGGAAGAGGAUGCUUUACACUGAAGGGUGACUCUGUCCCUAGGAUUUACAUGUAGAGAGACUGGUGUCUGAGUGAUGAGAAUUUCUCCACUAGAUUCUGGAAGGAAGGAAAGAUAUUAAGAACAUGGUGAAUUCAUAACAUGUCCCUGCAAAAUAAGAGGGAAGAAAAGAACUACCAAAUCUUACCCUGAAACAAAGUGAGAACAACCCAAACUAGGAUUUACAUGUAGAGAGGCUGGUGCUUGAGUGAUGACAAUUUGUCCACUGGAUUCUGGAAGGAAGGAGAGAAAGGAAGCAUGUGAAUUUCCCCAUAACAUUUGCCUGAAAAUUUAGACAGCACCUCCAUUAACACUUACUUUCAAAGACUCAAGAAAAUCUCACCAGGCAGCCACAGCCUGAUGGGGAUAGCAGGGGAAACUUAAGAAGUACCAAAUAUGGAAAUUUAUGCAAACCCAAAAGGGGGGCAGAUAUAUUCUAUACGUGUAGGAACUGCAUUCUAUCCUCCAACCUCCAGAAACACAUGUGUGAGUAUCUCAAAUUGCUGAAGCAUGAGGAGGAACCUGACAUAACAUUCUCAGUCAAGGAGACAAUUUAUCCUCACAAUGCUGAAAAUUCUGGCCAUGAUCUAGAACAAGGUUUUUGUUUUUCUUCAGUUUCCAGGACUUUGAGGAAUGCCUCCUCAAAUUUGUGCCUCGUUCUAUGUCAGCACAACUGAGAAGUGCCUGCUGUCUUUCUAGUCUUUCAGUGCACCCAGAGAUGGUGACAUUGCCUUUUGUUCAAGGCAAUGAAGACCCCUAUUGCUUUAAAAAUGGUGCUGGAGAUAUUGGUCACAUUGCUAACCAUGAUAAUAUCCACCAUCAUCAGCUUCAGGGCUGUUGGUGAUCAGUGUGAAUUUUUUUUCCUUACUCCAGUUUGACAGUGGGUCGCCUUGCUACUAUGAGAUGAUGUCACCAUCUCUGGGUGCACGCGGGCUGAUGAAAAAGGCCCUGAUC